UAGCCCUACGGGACGCAGCAGUGAGGAAUAUUGGUCAAUAGGCGGAAGCCUGAACCAGCCAAGUCGCGUGAGGGAAUAAGGCCCUACGGGUCGUAAACCUCUUUUGCCGGGGAGCAAGGGCGGGGACGUGUUCCGGCCCGGAGAAAAAGCAUCGGCUAACUCCGUGCCAGCAGCCGCGGUAAUACGGAGGAUGCGAGCGUUAUCCGGAUUUAUUGGGUUUAAAGGGUGCGUAGGCGGGCUUUUAAGUCAGCGGUAAAAAUUCGGGGCUCAAUCCCGUCCGGCCGUUGAAACUGGGGGCCUUGAGG
rnacentral:rRNA from 1 species